ACUAGUUUAAGUAGAAUUGACAUGUCUUCACCACUUCCUUUCAGGUCACCAGAAGGUGCAGAUGGGAGACGGACGGUCACAUGCAAUUUCCAUCCCACCCACACGGCCCAGCAAAGGCUUGCCACGAGACUUCAGCUUUGGAGCUGUUGUUGCCAUCAUGGUAAGCGAACAAGCAUCUGUGCUUCGGAAAUCAGUGGAUGGAAGGUGUUCCGUGAAAAGCAGCAUGUGGGAAAGUAGCUUAAAAUGGACCCUCCCAAAUCACAUCUUCUGUGAUUUUAAGGGAUAUGAGAU